rnacentral:rRNA from 1 species
UACGUAGGGUGCGAGCGUUGUCCGGAAUUAUUGGGCGUAAAGAGCUCGUAGGCGGUGUGUCGCGUCGGCCGUGAAAACCUGCAGCUUAACUGUGGGCGUGCGGUCGAUACGGGCAUCACUGGAGUUCGGCAGGGGAGACUGGAAUUCCUGGUGUAGCGGUGAAAUGCGCAGAUAUCAGGAGGAACACCUGCGGCGAAGGCGGGUUGCUGGGCCGACACUGACGCUGAUGCGCGAAAGCCAGGGGAGCGAACGGG